AUGUAUUUGAUACAUUCUUGCAUUGCAGUGCUGGUUACAGCCCAAAUGAUGAAAGUACUGGAGCAGGAGUUUAUCCAUAAGGGAAGAUGGUUUCAGAGGAAGGGCCUGGAGGUUAUAUGUUAUAUAUUUCCAUUACACAAUGAUAACCGACUAACAUCAUCAGAACCCUACUUUGUUUGUUCUAUUAGUUUUGUAUAUGCACAAUAUACAUUUAAAACUAAUCAACCGUCAUUGCCACAAAACUCAAUAUCAUUCUUUUGGCCUUUUCGUUUGUUAAAAAAUUCGAAAUGGAAAUUUUGA
rnacentral:rRNA from 1 species